CCGCAACCCUUGUCCUUAGUUACCAGCACGUAAUGGUGGGCACUCUAAGGUGACUGCCGGCUAAAAGUCGGAGGAAGGUGGGAUGACGUCAAAUCAUCAUGCCCCUUAUUGACCUGGGCUACACACGUGCUACAAUGGGCGGUACAAAGGGUCGCGAACCCGCGAGGGGGAGCCAAUCCCAAAAAGCCGACUCUCAGUUCGGAUUGCAGGCUGCAACUCGCCUGCAUGAAGCCGGAAUCGCUAGUAAUCGCGGAUCAGCAUGCCCGCGGUCGAAUACGUUCCCGGGCCUU
rnacentral:rRNA from 1 species